rnacentral:rRNA from 1 species
CCCGACAUAAUGCAACUAGCACAAUCUAAUAAUCACCACCACCACCACCACUAAACCCAGCUUUCUUGUACAAAGUGGUGGGCACAGGACCGUACCCGAAACCGACACAGGUGGACUGGUUGAGUAUACCAAGGCGCUUGAGAGAACCAUGCUGAAGGAACUAGGCAAAUUGCUCGCGUAACUUCGGGAUAAGCGAGACCCUUUCCUGGGCAACCAGGAUGGGGUGGCACAGACCAGGGGGUGGCGACUGUUUAGUAAAAACACAGGGCUCUGCGAAGUCGAGAGACGACGUAUAGGGUCUGACGCCUGCCCGGUGCCGGAAGGUUAAAGGGAGAUGUGCAAGCAUCGAACUGAAGCCCCGGUAAACGGCGGCCGUAACAAUAACGGUCCUAAGGUAGCGAAAUUCCUUGUCGGGUAAGUUCCGACCUGCACGAAUGGCGUAACGACCUCCCCACUGUCUCCAGCAUGGGCUCAGCGAAAUUGAAUUCCCCGUGAAGAUGCGGGGUACCCGCGGUCAGACGGAAAGACCCUAUGAACCUUUACUGCAGCUUGGCAGUGGCGCCAGGAGAGGGCUGUGUAGGAUAGGUGGGAGGCUUUGAAGCCGGGGCGCCAGCCUUGGUGGAGCCAACCUUGAAAUACCACCCUGCGCUCUUCUGGCGUCUAACCGAACCCGGUAAGCCCGGGUCGGGACCCUGCCUGGUGGGCAGUUUGACUGGGGCGGUCGCCUCCCAAAAGGUAACGGAGGCGCGCGAUGGUGGGCUCAAGCCGGUCGGACAUCGGCUGUUGAGUGCAAAGGCACAAGCCCGCCUGACUGUGAGAGCGACAGCUCGAACAGGGACGAAAGUCGGCCUUAGUGAUCCGGUGGUCCCGCGUGGAAGGGCCAUCGCUCAACGGAUAAAAGGUACUCUAGGGAUAACAUGCUGAUCUCCCCCAAGAGUCCACAUCGACGGGGAGGUUUGGCACCUCGAUGUCGGCUCAUCGCAUCCCGGGGCUGGAGCAGGUCCCAAGGGUUCGGCUGUUCGCCGAUUAAAGCGGUACGUGAGCUGGGUUUAGAACGUCGUGAGACAGUUCGGUCCCUAUCUGCCGUGGGUGUUGGAGAUUUGAGAGGAUCUGUCCCUAGUACGAGAGGACCGGGAUGGACGCACCUCUGGUGCACCAGUUGUCGUGCCAACGGCAUAGCUGGGUAGCCAAGUGCGGAAUGGAUAACCGCUGAAGGCAUCUAAGCGGGAAACCAGCCUCAAGACGAGAUCUCCCCGAGGGCCGUGAUAGACCAUCACGUCGAUAGGCCGCAGGUAUACAUGGGGCAACCCAUUCAGCCGAGCGGUCCUAAUCGCCCA